AGAAGCGAAAUAAGGGCACACGGAGGAUGCCUAGGCGGUGGAAGCCGAAGAAGGACGUGCUAAGCUGCGAAAAGCCCGGAGGAGGUGCACAGGACCUGUGAUGCCGGGAUAUCCGAAUGGGAGAACCUGCAUACCUGGAGGGUAUGCGCGAGAGAGGUAAGCCGGCGAACUGAAACAUCUAAGUAGCCGGAGGAAAAGAAAGUAAAAACGAUUCCCUGAGUAGCGGCGAGCGAACGGGGAGGAGCCUAAACCGUAUAUGUGUUAAAGCUGGCGGCGUUGCAUAUACGGGGUAGAGGGAACAUACUGGACUGACGCCAUAAGGUCGAGUAUAUCAUGAUGUAAGCGGAACGCGGUUGGAAAGCCGGACCGUAGGAGGUGAGAGUCCUGUAGGGCGUAAAGUCAUGAUAUCUUGUAUGAGAUCCCGAGUAGCAUCGGACACGAGGAAUCCGGUGUGAAUCAGCGUGGACCAUAUCACGUAAGGCUAAAUACUUCCACCGACCGAUAGAGGAGAGUACCGUGAGGGAAAGGUGAAAAGAACCCUGAGCAAGGGAGUGAAAGAGAAUUUGAAACCGUGUGCUUACAAGCGGUAGGAGCCCUUAGGGGUGACUGCGUGGAUUUUGGUUAAUCAUCCUGCGAGUUAUGAUGUGUGGCGAGGUUAAGUAGAAGCGGAGCCGAAGGGAAACCGAGUCUUAAGAGGGCGUAAGUCGCAUGUCAUAGACGCGAAACCUAGUGAUCUAGGCCUGUCCAGGCUGAAGCUGAGGUAAGACUCAGUGGAGGGCCGAACUCACCGCCGUUGAAAAGUUGGGAGAUGAGAUAGGUCUAGGGGUGAAAAGCCAAUCGAACUAGGAGAUAGCUCGUUCUCUCCGAAAUGCAUUUAGGUGCAGCCUCGGUUGAAGAUAUGCGGGGGUAGAGCACUGUAUGGCCUAGGGGGCGUAUAGCUUACCGAAGUCAAGCAAACUGCGAAUACCGUAUAUUGUUUACCGGGAGUGAGUCUACGGAUGACAAGGUCCGUGGACGAGAGGGGAACAGCCCAGACCGCCGGCUAAGGUCCCAAAUCAUGUCUAAGUGGGAAAGGAGGUGGAUAUUCACAGACAACCAGGAGGUUGGCUUAGAAGCAGCCAUACCUUGAAAGAGUGCGUAAUAGCUCACUGGUCGAGAGUAUCUGCGCCGAAGAUAUAACGGGGCUAAGACAUGAACCGAAGCUGCGGAAGCGUGGUAACACGUUUGGUAGGAGAGCGUUCUGUAGGCCGUAGAAGGUGUCCUGGAAGGGAUGCUGGAGGUAUCAGAAGUGAGAAUGCAGGAAUGAGUAGCGAGAAGGAGGGUGAGAAUCCCUCCGGCCGGAAGUCCAAGGUUUCCAGGGGAAGGUUUGUCCGCCCUGGGGGAGUCGGGACCUAAGCAUAAGCAGAGCUGCGAAGGCGAAUGGAAAACAGGUUAAUAUUCCUGUACCGCUGUGGACUGAUUGAAAGAUGGAGUGACGCAGGAAGGUAUGCGGGAAGGCUGACGGAAUAGCCUUUCUAAGGGUGAAGCGUGGACAUAUAGGCAAAUCCGUAUGUUUAAACGUGAGGCCUGAUGGGGAAGUACCAUAAGGUAUAAGCCGCAGAUCCUACACUGCCGGGAAAAACUUCUAUUUAGGGAAAUAGCGCCCGUACUGUAAACCGACACAGGUGGACAGAGUGAGAAACUUAAGGCCGACAGGACAACUCUGGCUAAGGAACUCUGCAAAAUGGCCCCGUAACUUCGGGAGAAGGGGUACCCGUGCUAACUGAAGGGAGAGACACCUGGAGGGGAAGCGGGUCGCAGUGAAGAGUCCCAAGCAACUGUUUACCAAAAACACAGGUCUAUGCUAAGCUGGAAGGCGACGUAUAUGGGCUGACACCUGCCCAGUGCCGGAAGGUUAAGAGGAGGAUUGAGAGAUUCGAAUUGAAGCCCCGGUGAACGGCGGCCGUAACUAUAACGGUCCUAAGGUAGCGAAAUUCCUUGUCGGGUAAGUUCCGACCUGCACGAAUGGUGUAA
rnacentral:rRNA from 1 species